CUAAGAAGCAUGGAUACGCACGGAGACCAGCGUAUCCCGUGUCGGAUACGCACGGAGACACGAUACGCAGUGGAUACGCUGAGAUACGCACGGGAUACGUAUCCGAGUCAACGGAUACGGUCAAUCACAAAAGGAUACCCGUAUCUGUUACGUAUCCCAAUUUGCAGAUACGAUUUAGGAAAUAAUUUCAGAAAAAAAACAGAAUUUGACACAACUAGGAAGUCCUAAACAACACGGGAUACCUGUUUUGUUUUGGAACUUUGAAGAUCUUUUCCUAAUUCCGACAGAUCUUCAUCUUCUUUAUAUAAAUAUAUGGGCAUAACGCUACCACCACCCAUCAAUUCAUCUUCUUCUUCUUCUUCAUCUUCUUCACCAGAAAAUAAAAGCAGCCUGGUUCUUCAAUUUGUCUUCAUCUGGUGGUUGUGGUUCAAUAUAAAAUCUGCUCUUUCUGUGUUUUUGGAGGCCGUCGUCGGUAUGUUUGCCUUUCUCUCUCUCUCUCUCUCUCUCUCUCUCUCUCUCU
rnacentral:lncRNA from 1 species